rfam:Xanthomonas albilineans GPE PC73 complete genome
GGGGGUGCACUGGUUUCGACGGGGGUUGCAAAAUCGCUUGGCGCAUGCCGAGGGGGCAGCUUUCCUCGUAAAUCCAGCCGCAAACUUAUAGUUGCCAACGACGACAACUACGCUCUGGCCGCUUAAGGCCUAGCCCCGAAAUCGCUUGUGUCCGUGCUCGCGACGUAGGGUCAUUAUCACGGAAUCGUCGGUGGUGGCUGCCUGUCAGCCACUGGCUAAAUCAAGCAGGCUGGUCCCGGGAUGCGCUUCGCACAUCGUGCUGUUCCGGGGCGAGAUGCAACGAUGAGCUAAGCAUGUAGUGCCGGGGAUGGAGUGCCUUCGGACGGCGGUUCGAUUCCGCCCACCUCCACCA